rnacentral:snoRNA from 1 species
AGUCUUAUUCCAUAUAAGAAUGGGGACAGGGAUCAUGGUGUCCAGAACUGAUAAAUGUGGCUAAACUGAGACACAGGUUAUGCUUCCAUCACAGUAGAUUUAUUGCAGUGAUGACAAUGAGACCUGUAACAUUU